AGUGAACGCUGGCGGUAGGCCUAACACAUGCAAGUCGAACGGAAGCCCAUUAGGGCUUUGUCUUACGGGGGGGGGGGGGGGGGCCGGGGGAGGAAAACAUCGGAUCCUCUUUUUUGGGGGGGGUUAAGGAAGGAAACUUUAGCUUAUUACGGAAUCGACCCACGGGUGGAAGGAGGGGGACUUUGGGCCCUGGGGGGUUUGAAUGAGCGAUGUCGGAUUAGCUAGUUGGGGGGGUAAAGGCCCACCAAGGCGACGAACCGUAGCUGGGCUGAGAGGAUGAUCAGCCACACUGGAACUGAGACACGGUCCAGACUCCUACGGGAGGCAGCAGUGGGGAAUAUUGGACAAUGGGCGCAAGCCUGAUCCAGCCAUACCGCGUGGGUGAAGAAGGCCUUCGGGUUGUAAAGCCCUUUUGUUGGGAAAGAAAAGCAGCAGGUUAAUACCCCGCUGUUCUGACGGUACCCAAAGAAUAAGCACCGGCUAACUUCGUG
rnacentral:rRNA from 1 species